AUGGAGGAGCCGAUGUCCAGGCUCGACCACGACCUAAUGGCGGAGAUCCUCUCUCGAGUGCCCUACAAAUCACUCUGCAUCUGCAAGUGUGUGUGCCCUGCCUGGCGCGACCUCAUCGCCGAUCCGGCGAAUCGGAAGAAGAUUGUGCAGUCCCUGGCCGGUUUCUUCUACCACAUCCCGGCCGACUCUGCCGAGUCCCGCGGCUUGGCCGUCAACUACGCCGACCUGUCUGCCUUCCCUUGGUCAAGCGUGCCUUCUACCUACCCGCGCUUGCCACUACCGCCAGACAGCGCAGACUGUUUCCUCACUGUCAAGGAUUCCUGCGAUGGGCUGUUUCUUACCCGGAUUGGGAGGGGCACGCCGGAGCCACAAUUUGGCUACAUGGUCUCCAAUCCAGCUACCAGUGAGUAUACUCUGCUGCCCCACUCUGGCUACGCCGGCAAGUGCUGUGGCUCUUACUUGGGCUUCGACAGUGGUGUCUCCACUCAAGAGUUUCAUGUGUUCGAGUUUGUGAUGGGAUGGCCAGACCAAGACCAGGAUGGGGUUCCCCCGGUUGUCACAGGACUCAACAUUUACUCUUCCCAAACUGGUGCAUGGGUAGCAAUGGAACCCAAAUGGGACAUCCAAGUUAGCUUGUGCGACGGUCAACUUGGAGUUUUCCGUGGGGGGUGUUUGCACCUGCUCAUACAUCUUGAUGGGCUGGCAAUUGUUGAUGCACAAGGGCUAAAAUGGAGGACCAUCCCCGUGCCAAAUUUCAUCGAUCCGAGUUUCUCGGGUUUCAUCGGAAAAUCUGCAGGACAACUGUUUUAUAUCAACUCUGACGACAGUGAAGAAGGAUAUGGCUCGACCUCAUUCUCAACUAUAUCUGUCUACGUUCUCGGUAGCGGGAUCUAUAACUGGGAUGCGUCUUAUUUGGACGACGGAUGCACGCAUUGGAUAUUGCUGCACAAGCUUUCAGAAGUGAUUCCAAAGGAGAAUUUUUGUCUCGGCUGGGACCUCAAAGUCGUCGGAGUACACCCACAUGCCAAUAUCAUCUUUAUGGCUGAUUUCAACAAUAAUGAACUGUUGGCAUAUGAUUUGGAUCAUCGUGAAAGUACAUCUGUACACCACAUUGAGCGGACCUACCUCGCGCAUGAGCAAUAUUUCCCAUAUGUGCCGCUGCUGUCCAGCCUACGGCUGGCAACUCCCAGUUGA
rnacentral:rRNA from 1 species